GAGGGAGGGAGGUAAUCUGGGGUAUACCCUAGCCGUACCAUCCCCUCUCCCUCUCCUUGUGCACAGCCGCCGCCCUCACCUCUCCCCGUGCUCGCCGGAGUGCGGCCUUCGCCGGCAACCUCCCCUGAUCUCUCUCGCUGUCCCUACUUCAUUCUCUUCCUCUCCUUACAUAUAUGUAUAUAGAGAGAUAGAGAGAGGUGGUCCCUCCCCUCAAGUUAGAACCGGCGACGCCGUGUCACUGCGCCGCCGCCGUCGCGGGAUCUUGGUCGAGGUCCCCUCUUUAUACGGCCUUGCUCCCAGCCGCCGGUCCACCUCGCCCCCGCGCGCAUUUGUGUGCUGCCCCGACCGGGCUGCUGCUUUCUGGGUUGUCGCAGCCACCUCUCCGGCACCUCGCCGCCGGCUGGUGCGAGCCCUGGCUCCCCCUCUCCUAGACCAACCUCUUCCUUCCCCUUUAUCCCGUUCGGAUCAGCCUGAAACUCCCCAACCUUGGUGGCUGCUGCUGCCAUAGUUGUAAUCUGGGGUGUUUAGCUUGGUCGACUCACUGUUCCAGCCAUCCGGCGCCUCCGGCGACCCUCCGCGGGUGAGCACAGCACUUCUGAGCAUAGGCCCUAGUCCGUGCUCUCCUAAAUUUCAGGUAUUGAUGCCUCGAAUCCCUGUUUUCAAUUGCACCCGCCAAGUGUUCGAUAAAUUGACUGUUGGUUGUUUUGGCUUUUCCGAGCAAUCCGGUGGUCAAAAAUUGGAGUUCUUUGGAGCAUAGCGAUCGUGAGGAAAAUUUCAAUGUAGUGCUCACCUUGGUAGAGUGAUUCGGAAGAUCGGUGGAAUCGCGAAGCUAUUGGGGACUCAAAUCGGCUCGGUUGCGGCCUAUUCUUUGCUCUCCGACGGACGGCAAUUGUCGAAGUGACUCCCUUGCUGGUUCACUGCAGCCAGAGGUGACUUCUAGAACUAUCGUUUUGAGUCGAGGACUCGGGUACUUGGUGAGAGCCUUCUUCUGUGGCUGCUGCUAUCGCUGAUACUGAUCGUGAAAAGGGAGUCGCGAGCUAGAUUCCUUCCCGGGUUGCAGUGCUAGAGGAGUAUCUCUCACAGGUAGUUUUGGGGUAUUUUGGUUCAUGUACAUAUGUUGGUUUGCUCGCUGGAGCAAGUGGUAUCUGUAUUUUGGAGACUAUGUAUGUAUAGUGAAGUAUAGUUACUGAAGUAAUAGUUUCACUCUUUGACUUUUUAAAUUUCUUGUUAGGUACCAUCCUGGUAAAA